UACGAAGGGGGCUAGCGUUGUUCGGAAUUACUGGGCGUAAAGCGCGCGCAGGCGGCUAUCCAAGUCAGUGGUGAAAGCCCGGAGCUCAACUCCGGAACUGCCAUUGAAACUGUUUAGCUUGAGGAUGAGAGAGGUGAGUGGAAUUCCUGGUGUAGCGGUGAAAUGCGCAGAUAUCAGGAGGAACACCGGUGGCGAAGGCGGGUCUCUGGGCCAAUACUGACGCUGAGGAGCGAAAGCGUGGGGAGCGAACAGG
rnacentral:rRNA from 1 species